AUUGAACGCUGGCGGCAGGCCUAACACAUGCAAGUCGAACGGAGUGGCGGACGGGUGUGUAAUGCCUAGGAAUCUGCCUGGUAUUGGGGGAUAACGUCCGGAAACGGGCGCUAAUACCGCAUACUAUCAGAUGACCCUCGGUCGGGUUAGCUAGUUGGUGGGGUAAAGGCCGACCAAGGCGACGAUCCGUAACUGGUCUGAGAGGAUGAUCAGUAGCACUGGAACGGAGACACGGGCCAGACGCCUGCGGGAGGCAGCAGAGGGGAAUAUUGGACAGUGGGCGAAAGCCUGAUCCAGCAAUGCCGCGGGUGUGGAGAAGGUCUUCGGAUUGUAAAGAACUUUAAGUUGGGAGGCGUUACCAACAGAAUAAGCACCGGCUAACUGCGUGCCAGCAGCCGCGGUAAUUC
rnacentral:rRNA from 1 species